rfam:Providencia rettgeri strain MR4 P_rettgeri_contig_104, whole genome shotgun sequence.
GUAUUUUUGAUUAACGCCUGCUUUAUGCGGGCCUUUGGGAAG